rnacentral:lncRNA from 1 species
CGGCAGUUGAGGACCAUGUGGAGAACCACUACUGGCCAAGCAUUCCCAACCUGAGAGCAGAACAGGAGUACAGCAGUGCUGAGGUGAACUUGACAGAGAACUUUGAGACCAUGAAGGCAGCCAACACUUCCAACUUAUCACAACCUGCCUCUGACAUAGAUUUAUUGUGGAAGAACUCAACCAUCUCCCUGUCACCAAAAAAUGGUCC